GUGGGGAAUAUUGGACAAUGGGCGCAAGCCUGAUCCAGCAAUGCCGCGUGUGUGAAGAAGGUCUUCGGAUCGUAAAGCACUUUCGACGGGGACGAUGAUGACGGUACCCGUAGAAGAAGCCCCGGCUAACUUCGUGCCAGCAGCCGCGGUAAUACGAAGGGGGCUAGCGUUGCUCGGAAUUACUGGGCGUAAAGGGCUCGUAGGCGGCUCUGUUAGUCAGGCGUGAAAUUCCUGGGCUUAACAUGGGGACUGCGUUUGAUACUGCAGGGCUUGAGACCGAGAGAGUGUGGUGGAAUUCCCAGUGUAGAGGUGAAAUUCGUAGAUAUUGGGAAGAACACCGGUGGCGAAGGCGACCACCUGGCUCGGUACUGACGCUGAGGCGCGACAGCGUGGGGAGCAAACAGGAUUGGAUACCCUAGUAGUCC
rnacentral:rRNA from 1 species